CAUCCCCGUCUGCAUGUCUUUAGAUUGUGUGAGGAAGCCAGCUUGUCCAAGGAUAACCGACACACACACAAGAAGAUCAAGCAACCUCCACUCAGAAAGACCUCACCCAAACAGGAAAUCCCAGGAUGUGGUCACAGACAUGGACGAUCUGCAGGACAAAGCCAAAAGGCCUCCACGGGGGGAGGGCGAGAUGAAGGACAGGCCAUAACACUGCAUGAGAAGUAACCUUAUUUGGAGGAGCAGGAGGUGGAGCCUGACUGAGAGCUCGAGGACAAUGCACAAUCACCGGCAGCCAUUGGGCAUUACGAGCUGUCAAUCACAUGGCAUCCUCGUUCAAACACAUUCUGGGCUUUAUGGUCUAUUUCACACUAAGUGGCACCAUUUGUUAAAAAAAGGACAUUGUAUUGUAUUGAAGAAGACCUGAAAGUAGCGAUUGAGACACUAUAAACCAAUGCAGGGACUCUGCUGGGCAUGUGAGAUGAUACAGGUUUCAAACAAUGGCGAGGCAAUGGCUUCACUUUCUGUGCCUAGAGUC